GGGACGAAGCCACUCGGGUUAAUAGCCCAGAGGGUGACGGUACCUCCAGAAGAAGCCCCGGCUAACUACGUGCCAGCAGCCGCGGUAAUACGUAGGGGGCAAGCGUUGUCCGGAUUUAUUGGGCGUAAAGAGCGUGUAGGCGGUUCGAUAGGUCUGCUGUGAAAACUCCAGGCUCAACCUGGAGCCGUCGGUGGAAACCAUCGAACUAGAGUCCGGAAGAGGAGAGUGGAAUUCCUGGUGUAGCGGUGAAAUGCGCAGAUAUCAGGAAGAACACCCGUGGCGAAGGCGGCUCUCUGGGACGGUACUGACGCUGAGACGCGAAAGCGUGGGGAGCGAACAGGAUUAGAUACCCUGGUAGUCCACGCCGUAAACGAUGGGUGCUAGGUGUGGGCGGUGUCGACUCCGUCCGUGCCGAAGCUAACGCAUUAAGCACCCCGCCUGGGGAGUACGGCCGCAAGGCUAAAACUCAAAGGAAUUGACGGGGGCCCGCACAAGCAGCGGAGCAUGUUGUUUAAUUCGACGCGAUGCGAAGAACCUUACCAGGGCUUGACAUGCACUGGAAUGUCGUGGAAACACGGCAGCCCUUCGGGGCCAGUGCACAGGUGGUGCAUGGCUGUCGU
rnacentral:rRNA from 1 species